rnacentral:rRNA from 1 species
AAUCAACGCUGGCGGCGUGCCUAACACAUGCAAGUCGAACGCGAAAGCCCCUUCGGGGGCAAGUAGAGUGGCGUCCGGGUGAGUAACACGUGGGUAAUCUACCUCCGGGUGGGGAAUAACUCGCCGAAAGGCGGGCUAAUACCGCAUAAUGCAGCGGCACCGAAUGGUGAUUAGUUGUUAAAGCGGGGGACCUUAGGGCCUCGCGUCUGGAGAGGAGCCUGCGGCAGAUUAGCUUGUUGGAGGGUAAUGGCCUACCAAGGCUGCGAUCUGUAGCUGGUCUGAGAGGACGGCCAGCCACACUGGCACUGACACACGGGCCAGACUCCUACGGGAGGCAGCAGUGGGGAAUCUUGCGCAAUGGGCGAAAGCCUGACGCAGCGACGCCGCGUGGGGGAUGAAGGUCUUCGGAUUGU